AUGCGACAGUGCCGGGCUGCGGUUCUGGCGGUUCUGGCCGUGGUGCUCCUGGUGACUGUGAGCAGAGCCCAGGUGCAGCAGGAGCCGUCUGCAGAGACCAGCGAGGGCACCGGCAUCAACAUCACCUGCUCACACCCAAAAAUACAGAUCAACGACUACAUUCACUGGUACCGUCAGCUCCCCGACCGAGGGCCUGCAUUCAUUGUGAGCGUUUUUAAAGGCUCCAAGGAGGUUCCGGACCCGGAGGGGCGGUUGUUGGUGUCUGCAGACCGCCGCUCCAGCGCCCUGUGGCUCGCCCGGCCCCGGCUCGCGGACGCGGCGGUGUAUUACUGUGCCGUGGGCACACGGGGAGUGGAGCCGGGGCUGCGGCCGGACACGAACCGCUUUGGGCGUGGCGGGGCACCGUGGUUUCCUGGCCCGCAGGGGGCGAUGCGUCACCUCCGGCUGGGGCCUCCCGAGCUUACAGUGCUGACCUGGAGAAUGUCCCUGGCAAUGCUCGGCAUCCUCUGGAAUAAGGCCUUCCAGCUGCACACCUCCAUGAGCGCGGCAUGUCGAGGUCACAAACACCUUCCAGUGGUCCCCACAGUGUCUCUGUCUUCAGACUAUGAGAUAGUGUGACAGGAUUGAGAGCCUCUGGAGGUGAGGUGUAUUUUCAGCAGAGGCCUCUGUAAGGUGUGUUGACUGUGAGGGCUACUGCCUCAUGCUGGCUGUGGAUCAAGUCCCUUCUCAGGUCAAAGGGAAUUACAAGUAAAAUGGAGUCUGAUAAGCAAAGCACAGACUGACCCCAAACUGUAAGCAAAAAGGGAGACAAGGAAGGGAACCAGAACUCUUCAGACCAUAAUUCUUUGGCCAUUAGGGAACUAAAGCUGUUAGAUUUGGAGUGACAUAGAACUUUGUGAGCAACAAGUUAGAAGAUGAAAACAAAUAAUAAGGAUGCACUGGAGCCAUCUGUGUAAUCUCUGACAAAUUUUAAGGCAAUGCAUACAUAAUGGGUCAAAGUUGUGGGAAAUGCGGCAGUGAGAAAAU